AAGGAAUAUUGGACAAUGGAGGCAACUCUGAUCCAGCCAUGCCGCGUGAAGGAAUAAGGCCCUAUGGGUUGUAAACUUCUUUUCGACGGGACAAAACCCCUUUACGUGUACAGGGUUGAUGGUACUGUCAGAAUAAGCACCGGCUAACUCCGUGCCAGCAGCCGCGGUAAUACGGAGGGUGCAAGCGUUAUCCGGAUUCACUGGGUUUAAAGGGUGCGUAGGUGGGCAGAUAAGUCAGUGGUGAAAUCUUCCGGCUUAACCGGGACACUGCCGUUGUUACUAUUUGUCUUGAAUAUUGCGGAGGUAAGCGGAAUAUGUCAUGUAGCGGUGAAAUGCGUAGAUAUGACAUAGAACACCGAUUGCGAAGGCAGCUUACUACACAAUCAUUGACACUGAGGCACGAAAGCGUGGGUAGC
rnacentral:rRNA from 1 species